GAAAAGUUGGAUUAGCUUCAACUCUCACUUCCGUGUUUCCAUAAAAAGUUGCUUUAUAUUUAUUCGAAGUAACUCUAAACUUUGAUUGAUUAUGUGUAACACCGAAGUUACGUAUAGCAUAAAGUCCUCCUUCUUGAAACUUAGAGAUGAAUUUAGAUACUAUAAGUUUUGGUGCUGUGAAAUGGUACCUAGUUCCCUGCAAUUUGAAUCAGAAUGGAUUAGAAUGCAUGAGGGUUUUGAAAAAAAAAAAUUGUAUAUGCCUUAUGUUCUAUAUAUAAACUAUUACAUGUCUUUUGUUUGUAUAUGUUUCAAAUAGAUAAACUAAAAUCUUACAAAGCGCGCCCCGGAGAGAUUCUUCAAAGACGUGUAAUCUUUUGUUUUACAAUCUCAUGUGAAAAUUGUGAUUUUCUCUUGUUUUCUAAUAGAGAAAAUUUGAUGGAGAAUUAGGAAAUCGGUGUGUAUGUGAAUGUGGUGCACACUUUGAAGUGGGAAACAAAGACACACCCAAUAAUUCUUCAUUCAUCACACACGCUUACACGUCAUUCCACUUCUAAUCAUAUCCAAAUCCUCAAAUCAUUAGAAUUUAACAACAAAAAACUGACCUCAGAGAGAUUCUAACAUUAAUGGUUUGUUCUAUAGGUAGAUUUCAGUUUCAGUUUCAGAAAACUUAUAGGUAUGAUCGCCUCUUAAUAGUAUCUUAAGCUUUAGCUUGCUGAAAUGAAUAGGAAAAUGUUAAUUAGCAAGCCUCUAUACAGGUGCAUGCGUUUUAUUUUUAAGAACUUUUUUUUCUUUUGUCUACAUAUGUAAGUUGAAACCUGCCUUAUUAGAUUUGCUUACCAACUUGAGGAUUUGAACUUUGGAUUUGAAUGUAGAAUGCAGGAUGGUGUUGAAAAAGAAUUGUAUAUGCCUUAUGUUCUAUAUACAUGCACUGCUAUAGAGUAUUGGAAUUUAAAAAAAUCACGCAGAUAUUCAAAUCAUUUCAAUCGAUAGCAUGUAUGUAGAGAAGUAAAGAAUGCCAAAAUCUGUGUGACUUAUAUGACCAAUUUUUGAAAAUGAGGCAUGUUGCAAUAUCAGCAAACUUAUAGGUGACAUUGCCAAAGGGCGAAGCUCGUUGAAGAGUGACCACAUUCCGACCAUCGGUGUUUUUGAACACAAUGAAUCUACAACCAUUUUUAGUUAUUAGAUAUUGAAACUGUAGCAGCUAUAAUGUAAUAUAUAAACAUUACAUCUCUUAAAAUACUACACUAACAAUGACAUUAUGAAUCUGCAACAACAUUUAACUAUUA